GAAAUGCGAUAAGUAAUGUGAAUUGCAGAAUUCCGUGAAUCAUCGAAUCUUUGAACGCACAUUGCGCCCUCUGGCAUUCCGGGGGGCAUGCCUGUCCGAGCGUCAUUACGCACCCUCAAGCCCGGCUUGUGUGAUGGGCCCCGGCGUCUCGUUCGCGAGACGGGCCCGAAAGGCAGCGGCGGCGUCGACCCGGUGAGCCCGAGCGUAUGGGGACUUCUGUCACACGUUCGCGGUGCGGACCGGCGCCUGCUUUGACUUUUCUGAUUAUCCAGGUUGACCUCGGAUCAGGUAGGGAUACCCGCUGAACUUAAGC
rnacentral:misc_RNA from 1 species